UGUGAGGCUGAAUUUUUAUAGCUCGCUGAUCGAUAUCGCUGUAAAAAUAAUCAUUUUUUUUUUUAAACUAGCGAGGCAGCGAAAUCUUUGCUUUGUGCUAAAGUCAACAGUGGCAGAGUUUGAGCUCAAAUAAAUGCUGCAGUGCCUGGAGCACUUUGCAGAACGCAGCGGACGAGCAGCGGACCCUCAGCAGCUUACAGGCUGUAGAGCGACAGAUGGAAGGUAGCGGAAAUAGGAUGCACCAGAGGUCAAUAGUGUGUUCACACUGCUCUGAGAGUAUAGUGUGAAGUUCCUGAUCACUUUCUCUCACAGACAAGACUUGCCAAACCACAGGUAUGGAUCAAUUGUAAAUGUUCAUCAGUUACAGCCCUAAUGCUUCAAGCCAUGGUGGAAGUGCUAGCUUGCCAAUCAUCAUCAGAGCACCUUCACCUGCAACUCAGCAGUCACGUCUGACCUGGCCGCAUAUGAGAGAUAACAUUCGCGUCUGCAGAGCUGAGAGGGGGGACAAAAGGAAGUUUGACGUUAAUGAUUAACAGCGCUAAAAGCCCCUGCUUUUGUAUUCCCAUGGUACCGAGGCUAUCUGGUGGCCAUGUGACCUGCGUGGAGGAGAUUGGGGGUGAGCAGUAGAGCAAACACAGGUGCUCUGUUUGGGUUGGAGUCGCCUGCGCUGUCAGGGACAACCACAAACACACGCAGCCAUGCCAAGCUCCACAAACAGUCGCCUACGCCAACAGAUCAAGUCCAAUGUGCUCCUCCUAUCUUCCUAUAUGUUCAACAUUGGAAAAAGUAUCUACCAUAUUUAUUGCAUUUAAGCUGGGGCAUCUUUAACCAGGGUUAACAAUUAGUUAAAAAGUAUAGUAUAAAGAAAAACACAAUUGCCUUUUACUUGUAUAAUAAAAACUAAUAAAAUAUGCUUUAAUUUAUACUUGUAUAUCACACUGUGCUGAAUAAUAAUGUUUUCAUGUCUGAUGCAACUGCUAAUCAAUUGUGCCGAGGCUGCCUGACUGUAAUUAAUGAGCUAUUCUCGAUCAUUUUCAAUCAUGUUAAGCACAAUGUUAACAACUCCUGAGGGAAAGGUGUUAAGAAUCAUUUAACCUCAGCAUUUUCAAUGUCAAUCAUGGCUACAUGUGCAGUGCGCUAGUGGGAACUGGACCUUUUCUUGAUAAUGUAAUCAGCUGUUAUAAAAGCCCUAUCACUAAAACCUUCUCAGUCUGACACAGAAAUGACGAAAGUGAUAACAAGAACAAAAGCUGCAAUACAAGCAUCCCCUAUUGAAAAAACAAAACAAAAAAGGAAAUGGAAAUGGAAAGACCACAUUAUGGAAACAACGCAUUCAGUGUCUAAUUUUCUGUACAGUGUACUGCAGAUCAGACAGACGGUGCUUUGAUUGUUCUGAUAUUAAUGUUUGCACUUGGGCUGCUUUUCAGUUAAUUGCUAGCACUUGAGGAGUCAAGGUUUGAUUACAAACGUAACAAUAAUAAAGCCUUUUGACGGCAAACACUUAAUCAGAAGCGAAUAUAAAAUUCUUAAAGGAAAAAAAACAUGUGAAUGAGAUGUGAAAAGUCCAAUAAAUAAUAAAAUGAAUAUUAUCUUAAACCUCAAUCCGACAGCAGAUUUCAUACCUGUAUAUAUACGUGCGUGUGU